rnacentral:rRNA from 1 species
UACGGAGGGUGCAAGCGUUAAUCGGAAUUACUGGGCGUAAAGCGCACGCAGGCGGUCUGUCAAGUCGGAUGUGAAAUCCCCGGGCUCAACCUGGGAACUGCAUCUGAUACUGGCAAGCUUGAGUCUCGUAGAGGGGGGUAGAAUUCCAGGUGUAGCGGUGAAAUGCGUAGAGAUUUGGAGGAAUACCGGUGGCGAAGGCGGCCACCUGGUGCGGUAUUGACGCUGAGGCGCGAAAGCGUGGGGAGCGAACAGG